rnacentral:rRNA from 1 species
AAAGGAAUAGACGGGGGCCCGCACAAGCAGCGGAGCAUGUGGUUUAAUUCGAAGCAACGCGAAGAACCUUACCAGAACUUGACAUCGUCUGAAUUACCCGUAAUUGGGGAAGCCUUUCGGGGCAGAUAGACAGGUGGUGCAUGGUUGUCGUCAGCUCGUGUCGUGAGAUGUUGGGUUAAGUCCCGCAACGAGCGCAACCCUUAUUACUAGUUGCCAUCAUUAAGUUGGGCACUCUAGUGAGACUGCCGGAGACAAUUCGGAGGAAGGUGGGGAUGACGUCAAAUCAUCAUGCCCCUUAUGUUCUGGGCUACACACGUGCUACAAUGGGUGUAACAACGAGAAGCAAGCUGGCAACAGCAAGCCAAUCUCUGAAAAGCACCCUCAGUUCGGAUUGUAGGCUGAAACCCGCCUACAUGAAGUUGGAGUUGCUAGUAAUCGCGAAUCAGCAUGUCGCGGUGAAUACGUUCCCGGGCCUUGUACACACCGCCCGU